rnacentral:rRNA from 1 species
GACGAACGCUGGCGGCGUGCCUAAUACAUGCAAGUCGAGCGAAUCUGAUGGGAGCUUGCUCCCUGAUGAUUAGCGGCGGACGGGUGAGUAACACGUGGGUAACCUGCCUGUAAGACUGGGAUAACUCCGGGAAACCGGGGCUAAUACCGGAUAACUUUUUUCUUCGCAUGAGGGAGAAUUGAAAGAUGGCCUCGGCUAUCACUUACAGAUGGACCCGCGGCGCAUUAGCUAGUUGGUGAGGUAACGGCUCACCAAGGCGACGAUGCGUAGCCGACUUGAGAGGGUGAUCGGCCACACUGGGACUGAGACACGGCCCAGACUCCUACGGGAGGCAGCAGUAGGGAAUCUUCCGCAAUGGACGAAAGUCUGACGGAGCAACGCCGCGUGAGUGAUGAAGGUUUUCGGAUCGUAAAACUCUGUUGUUAGGGAAGAACAAGUAUCGUUCGAAUAGGGCGGUACCUUGACGGUACCUAACCAGAAAGCCACGGCU